rnacentral:rRNA from 1 species
CAGUAGCCACGGUAACACGAAGGGUGCAAGCGUUAAUCGGAAUUACUUGGCGUAAAGCGCGCGUAGGUGGUUUGGUAAGAUGGAUGUGAAAUCCCCGGGCUCAACCUGGGAACUGCAUCCAUAACUGCCUGACUAGAGUACGGUAGAGGGUGGUGGAAUUUCCUGUGUAGCGGUGAAAUGCGUAGAUAUAGGAAGGAACACCAGUGGCGAAGGCGACCACCUGGACUGAUACUGACACUGAGGUGCGAAAGCGUGGGGAGCAAAAAGGAUUAGAUACCCGUGUAGUCCCUGUCUCUUAUAU